UACGUAGGGUCCGAGCGUUGUCCGGAAUUAUUGGGCGUAAAGAGCUCGUAGGCGGUUUGUCGCGUCUGCUGUGAAAUCCCGAGGCUCAACCUCGGGCCUGCAGUGGGUACGGGCAGACUGGAGUGCGGUAGGGGAGAAUGGAAUUCCUGGUGUAGCGGUGGAAUGCGCAGAUAUCAGGAGGAACACCGAUGGCGAAGGCAGUUCUCUGGGCCGUAACUGACGCUGAGACGCGAAAGCUAGGGGAGCGAACAGG
rnacentral:rRNA from 1 species